AUUUUUGUAGCUUACUUAGUUAGAGUACUUGUUUAGUAAACAAAAGGUCUUGAGUUCAACUCUCAAGGAAAGUG
rfam:Vitis vinifera, whole genome shotgun sequence of line PN40024, unoriented chromosome 14, chr14